AGUUAGCCCAGAUGGUAGCGGCAUCCUGUGGUCUCGGGGUUCGGGACCACAGAUAAAGCGAACAGCUGGAGGAUUC
rnacentral:sRNA from 1 species